rnacentral:lncRNA from 13 species
CCAGGAAAUGUUAUUAACUCACAACAAUAAGAGCUUCUAAACUGAUUCACUGAGCAGAUGGGCUGGUCAGAGAGUUCUGCAAAGACAGACAGACAGACAGACAGACCUGUGUUCUAAGAAUUUGACUGGCCUCAAGGUGUGGCAGAACUGUCUGUGUUGCUCUCUUCCUCUCUUCCUGCUAUCACAGCAGCCUGUCGAGAGGGAGUCUGGGGAAAGAAGGAAGGAGCAAGAGGGUUAGGGAAAGAAGGAAUAGAAUGAAGAGGGAGGGAGAGACCCUACCCAUUUGCUUUAAUUAGGUCCUCUCUUCCUCUCUCUUCUUCCCUACAGAACAUCUGUCUGGCAGAACACACAGACACACACUUUCACUCUGGCUGGGAUUGAAUUACUGUAUCACACAACCACUGACUACUCUCUCACACACACACACACACACACACACACACACAGACACACAGAGAGAGAGCGAAAGCAGAGGAGAAAAGAACAAAGCCUUACAAAUCAAGAUAAUUCUCAAGUGCUGAGGGAUUCGGGAGAUUUUUUUUUUUAAGUGAGGGGGGGAGAAAAUCCUUUGCAUUUUAAUGAAAAUUUUGAAUGGAAUGUAAAUAAAGGAAAGAAUACAGAAAAGCAACAACGAACUCAGCGUUGAGUUUUGAUGGAAUUUUUAACAAGGCUGACUGAGCGAUUGUCACACUGAUGGUGUGAAGCAGUCACACACUCACCUUAGCCAGAGUGAUGAGAAGGCAUUAUGACUUGGGCUUAAGUCCAGGAGGAAGGCAAUGGGUCCCUUGAAGAAUAGAUUAUGUUCUCAUAAACCAAUCUAGGACUAUAUGAUUGGUUGAACACUUAGAUGUGUCUGGAGCAAUUCUAAUUGGCUGUUCAAGGACCCUCUGAUGGUGCUAUUGACCAUUUUACUGAGUGAUAGCUUAGGCUGGUAAACAUGUCUUAUUCAUAUUUCUAAAAAGCUGCUUAGAUGAAAGCAUCUAUCCACACAGACAAGUAGACAGAGAAACAGAGGGAGAUGGGGAGGUAGAGAGAUAGAAGGUGACAGAGACAGAUAUCUAGUAAGGGUAAUAAUGGGGCAAUAGCUCAAGCGGACACAACAAACACUCUCCAGUGUGACCUUUCAGGUGGAGAAGGCUGAGCUCUGGAGAAGGCUGAGCCUCUGAAUGGUUGAGUGACCUCAUACAUCACCCUGGGAAUCUGCUGGUCUCACAGUGAAAUGAGGGAUUUUGUGCGGAAAUACACACACAUACAUGUGCAUACACACACACGAUACGCACCCACACACACAUGAUAUGAACACACACACCUCAGCUUGAGAAGAACACGCUACC